CGGCAUGGCGGCUGUCGGUUAACCCGUAGUUUCGAACAUGUGUUGAUAUAUUAGAUAACACAUGUCGGUUCUCGGGUCAAUUGCUUACUAG